AAUAAUAAUAAUAAUAAUAAUAAUAAUAAUAAAGAUAAAGGGUCUAAUAAUUAGGUUAUAUAAAGCAAAGGAUUGCUAUGGUCUCAAAUAUUUUGGAAACCUAGUUUCUUUUUUUUCUUCUCUUCGGCGGCUUAUGGGUAAAAGAGAUUCAGUUGCUGAAGGAAAUCAAUUGCUUGGAUAAGAGGAAAGGAAUAUUGAUCUCAAAACAAAAUUGGGACUAGCGCUUGUGAUAUAGAGGAGCUCGAGUUUGCCCUUAGGGUGGUGAUUAUUUGGCAACGGUAAUCUAAGGUAAGGGUAAGGCUAAGCAGUGAGAUUGGAGAGCUCGAGGCGUGGACCGCAUGUUAGGGGGCUGGCACAGUAUUUUGCUUUUAAUGUUUUUUUUUUAAACUGCUAAACAUUUUGGAACUAUUAUUUUGACUUAACUAGUUCUUAUUUAAGUUUACAGUACUAAAAGUAUUUUGUUUUAAACAAUGAGAUCUCAUGCUUGGAUAUUUUUCAAUAAAGAAGUAUUUGAUUGUCUUUA